UACCGAAAUUAUUUGAUGGGAGUGGGACUGGGACUAACUCUUAAAUAUUUCGUGCCCCUUUUCGGCUUUUCCGCCAUUUCUCCUGUAGACAUGUGGUCACCAUCAUGCUGUGAUAGGCUUAAUUUUGAAUACGACUUGUUCUACUGGAUAGUUGAGUUUAUCUACUUAUUUUCACAUUGUUAAUGUCAUUUAAUGUUUUCCGACUAAAACUUGUCUUCCAGAUAAGCUGGGGAAAAUCCGAUCCAACUUCGCUCGUAUCACGUGGAGCCAGAUGAAAUUUGGAAACUGGUUUGUAAAUCAGUGGAAACCACAAUGUUAGUAUUGCUGAGGCUGUUAGCUUUUGUUCAUCUACACAUUAUCGAUUGAUGGGAUUCACAAGAACAAUUUCUUGCCUGAACAGAAAGUAUUUUCGAUAAAUUUUCAUACAGUUUUAUAAUCCAUCCAUUUUUAGUUGUUUUUCUGAUCACCAAGCAGAACAUGUUUGUACAGCAAAUUCUAUAUUUGUGUUUCCAAUGCAGUUCAUGGUUAAAAGGAAGUAUAUUUCUUUUGUUUUCCUAGAUGUAAGUGGCUACUGAUCUGAAAGCCAUGAAAUUAUUAAAGUGUAAAGAUCUUGGCAUACAAUGACUGAAAUUCCUGAUAAUACCGUAAAUAUUUUAAGUUUACACUAUUUUUUGAAUAAUAAUGAAGCAUUCACAAUUGCAGAUUAUGGCAGUCCUGAAUGGUUCCUUGCUAGAUUAAAUGGUCAUAUGAUAGAUAUAAAAAAUUACAUUUGAAUAUAGUAAGUAAGAUCUGGAAUGUGUGCUAAGGCUAACUUGGACUAUUGUAAUGCCUUCAAAUUUUAUAAAUCCCUAAUGUAAACUAUGGACUUCACCAGAUAACGAUGCCUGUCCGAAACCAUUAGGUUUGGUCCAUAUUUUAGUAGUCCAUUUUGGACUGUCGCAAGUCCAUAGUUUAGUAACACCCGGCAACAGAGUCUGUUGCCGGGUGUUAAAGGGCCAAAAACAAAGAAUCGCCCGUGUCUGAAUUACAUGUUUUGGAACUGGAGUUAAUUUUUAGUGAUCUCCUGGAUGGAAGCAUGUUGCAGAUGGAAAAAGAUUCGUGUUUCAAUUGGAUUAUGUCGCAUCGUCAUCAUAAACCCCACAUCCAAGAUUCCAUAAAGGAUCGCAAUGCAGUCUCCAGCAAAUCUGUGAUACAAAACAAUUUCUAUCUAUCAUAUUUUUGAUGUUUUACAUUCUUUUCAAUUAAUUUUACAUGUUUUUGGGAAAUCAGGUGUGAUAUUUUGGCCAAUUUGAUUUUUACAAGCAGAACAUUUGGUACAAUCAAGGAAGGAUGAGGCAUGAAAAAAGGACAAUCAGAUUGCAGAAUGUACUUGCAUAACAUACAACCUAAUGGAAUUCUGUUACAUUAAGUGCAUAUUCACACAGAAGCUUCUGGCUGAGAAGAGUGUUGGAUUUUAAGACACAUUCAACAUGCAGACCAAAUCCCAUAUUAUCCAAUGCAUUCAUCCUCAUUUGGUAACUUUCUCUUCUCUGGUUUAAUCAAAAUCUUUUUCAUAUGUGAUGAAAAUAUGAAACAUGUGGAAAUGCCAAAACUAGGGUAAAAUAAACUAGUUUCAGUUUA